rnacentral:rRNA from 1 species
GUUGACCUCGGAUCAGGUAGGAAUACCCGCUGAACUUAAGCAUAUCAAUAAGCGGAGGAAAAGAAACCAACAGGGAUUCCCCUAGUAACGGCGAGCGAAAAUCGUCGACCUGCAGGCAUGCAAGCUUGGCACUGGCCGUCGUUUUACAACGUCGUGACUGGGAAAACCCUGGCGUUACCCA